GUUUUAUUGUCUUGGUUAGUUAGAGCAUGGUGCUAAUAACACCAAGUUUGCAGGUUAGAUUCCUGUAUGGACCA
rnacentral:tRNA from 1 species